rnacentral:rRNA from 1 species
GAUGAACGCUAGCGACAGGCUUAACACAUGCAAGUCGAGGGGCAGCGCGGGAUAGCAAUAUCCUGGCGGCGACCGGCGGAAGGGUGCGUAACGCGUGAGCGACAUGCCCGUUGCCCGGGGACAACCGGUGGAAACGCCGACUAAUCCCCGAUGGGAUAUUGUGCCGCAUGGCACGAUAUUGAAAGUUACGGCGGCGACGGAUUGGCUCGCGUCCGAUUAGCUGGUUGGCGGGGUAACGGCCCACCAAGGCUGCGAUCGGUAGGGGUUCUGAGAGGAAGGCCCCCCACAAUGGGACUGAGACACGGCCCAUACUCCUACGGGAGGCAGCAGUGAGGAAUAUUGGUCAAUGGGCGGAAGCCUGAACCAGCCAUGCCGCGUGCGGGAAGGAGGCCCUAUGGGCUGUGAACCGCUUUUGCCUGGGGGCAAUAAGGGCGUCGCGCACGUCCGAUGAGAGUACCAGGCGAAUAAGCAUCGGCUAACUCCGUG